UGGCGGACGGGUGAGGAAUACAUCGGAAUCUACUCUGUCGUGGGGGAUAACGUAGGGAAACUUACGCUAAUACCGCAUACGACCUACGGGUGAAAGCAGGGGAUCUUCGGACCUUGCGCGAUUGAAUGAGCCGAUGUCGGAUUAGCCAGUUGGCGGGGUAAAGGCCCACCAAGGCGACGAUCCGUAGCUGGUCUGAGAGGAUGAUCAGCCACACUGGAACUGAGACACGGUCCAGACUCCUACGGGAGGCAGCAGUC
rnacentral:rRNA from 1 species